rnacentral:rRNA from 1 species
AAGCGGGGGGUAAAAAGAGCAUAUGGUGGAUGGCUCGAGAUAGUAUGGGCGAAGAAGGACGUGGCGUGACUGCGUUAACCUUGGGGGAGGUGUCUAGCAACCUUUGAUCCCAAGAUUUCCGAAUGGGGAAACCCCGUCCGCCGAAAGGCGGAUGACCAAGCGUUUUAAACGGCGCUUUGGAGCGAACCCGCUGAAGUAAAACAUUUCAGUAAGCGGAGGAAAAGAGAACAAUAGUUUAUUCCCUUAGUAGCGGCGAGCGAAAAGGGAAGAGCCCAGAUCCCGAUUUCCUAUUUAAUUUAUUAAGUGGGUAAUCGCGGAAGUAGUAAGUUUAGUUCUAAUCUUUAAUGAUCGGAAGAAUGAAAAUAUUAAUAGAACGGUCCUGGAAAGGCCGGCCAAAGAGGGUAAUAGCCCCGUAAAUGAAAAUAAUUUUCUACUUUUCGGACUUUACUUGAGUACCUCGAUAAAUGUAUGCGUCGGGGGAAACUGCCGGCACGAGCCGGUAAGGCUAAAUACCAUCUAUCAUCAAUAGUGAACUAGUACCGUGAGGGAAAGUUGAAAAGCAGCCCGGUGAGGGCGAUGAAAUAGUACCUGAAACCAUAUGCUUACAAAGAAUGGGAGCCCCGUGAGCGCAAGCUUUUACGGGGUGACCGUGUGCCUAUUGAAGAAUGAGCCAACGAGUUAUUGUUUUUUGCUUCUUUAAGGGCGUAAAGCCCGGAAAGACAGGGAAACCGAGUGUUAAUAGCGCGUUUUCCCACUCAAAAUUUUGGAAUAAAAAAAUGGUGGAGGGCUUUUUCGCGCCCCCCGAAACGUCCGGAUUAUCAUUAUUACCAGCUUUACUGGUAAAGCUGAUAUGUGGAACCGGAAGCACACUCUGCGUGCGUUAAUUAUACUCCUAUUACAUUAAUUUGUCAAUAGGGUCCAAAAUUUUGAGUGGGAAGGCAGAAAACGAUAGACCCGAAGCCAGAUGAGCUUACCAUGACCAGGGUGAACCCCGGAGAAAUCCGGGGGGAGGCCCGAACCGUUUAGCCGUUCAAAACUAUCGGAUGAGUUGUGGUAAGGAGUGAAAAGCUAAUCGAAUCUGGUAAUAGCUGGUUCUCUCCGAAAUAGCUUUUCGGCUAGCGGCCCGCAAAACUUAGGAGGUAGAGCUACUAGAUGGACUUGAUAGGGAGAAAUCUCGCGAGUCCAACUAAACUCCGAAUGCCUAAGGUUUUAUGCGGGCUAGUCAGACCAUGGGGGCUAAGCUCCAUCGGUCAAAAGGGAAACAGCCCAGAUCUCAANNNNNNNNNAAACAGCGAGGAGGUUGGCUUAGAAGCAGCCAUCCUUUAAAGAGUGCGUAACAGCUCACUCGUCAAGAGACUUCGCGCCGAAAAUUAUCGGGGCUUAAGCAGAGUACCGAAGGUGAGAGUGCUGACGCAACUUUCAAUUUCUAACUUAUAAUUUCCAAUUUUUGGUAAUUAAAUUGUUGGCAAUUGGCAGUUGCGCCAGCGCGGUAGGAGAGCGUUCCAAAUGCAGUGAAGCUCACGGCGUGAGCCGGAGUGGAGCGUUUGGAAGUGAGAAUGUUGGCACAAGUAACCACAAGUCCGGUGAAAUCCCGGACCACCGAAAACCCAAGGUUUCCUUGGCAAUGACAAUCAGCCAAGGGUUAGUCGGCCCUAAGCCAAUGGCGAAAGCCGGAGGCGAUGGAUAGCUGGUUAAUAUUCCAGCACUGCGUAUUUUUUUGAUGACGGGACGGAAUCUAGUACAUUGAGCGUGUUAUUGGAUUCGCGUUCAUGGCGUAAGGGUAGAGUAUAGGAAAAUCCGUACUCUCGCUUUAGUGCGGCAUCCAAGCGCUUUGAAAACCCGGCACAGCAAUGUGCUGGGAAUUCAAUGGAGCAGGUUUCCCAGAAAAUCGUCUAAAAAUAUUAAUACGCAACCGUACCGGAAUCCGACACAGGUGGGUAGGUCGAGAAGACCAAGGUGAACGAGUGAAAGAUCCCCAAGGAACUCGGCAAAAAAGCAUCCGUAAGUUCGCAAUAUGGAUUCCCAGCUGCACUUUUUGAGCUUUUGCAAAAUAAAAGAGCAGGCCUGAUUACAGGCCUGCAACAACAAUACAGCUACGCGUUAUUCUUCCAGGUGGGUCGCUCCGAUGAGCGCGCCGGUUGCAAUAAUGCCAGAUAGAAUAGCGACGAAGUUGAGGGCUACGAAGUUUACAAGUUCGACAUCCUCUACGCCAAUGGCCAUGACGAUUAUGUCGGCAAGCAAAAUCAAUCCCGCCGUAAAGUAACCAGCAACAUACAAUAACUUCACAAAAUCCUUCAUUUUGCACCUCCUUUGCCAUUAUAGCAUAUUGGUAAAAUAAGUCAAGAGCUUAAAAAGUGCGGCUGGGCGCAGCGAAAGUACCCCUGGCGACUGUUUAACAAAAACACAGCUCCCUGCAAACUCGUAAGAGGAAGUAUAGGGGGUGAUGCCUGACCAAUGCGAGAAGGUUAACGCUGGCGUUCGCGUGGAGCAAUCUGCGCGGGUGACUGGCCGAAGCCCUCGUCAAUGUCGGCCGUAACUAUAACGGUCCUAAGGUUCUGGAAUUAUUUUGAAAUGAUUCCGGAAGGACUAGGACUGUUAUAGCGAUACAUAUGUUAAACAAAAAUAGCUGCCUCAUUGUGUAGCAAUACGCAAUUGGUCCAAAAUUACAUGGCUAUAUGCUGGAAACUCCGCAAGUAUCCUCAAGUACUUUGUGUCCUAAACCAGGUUUGGGUCAUAAAGUGAAAAUCUGUGAGGUGGCGCGGACAAUCAGCAGGAAACUGUAAUAUCUAAAGGAGGAAAAGAACAUGAAAAAUGACUGGGACGUACUUGUCCAAAGACGUUGGUGGAUGUCUCGUGCAGACAUCGACGUUCUUUACUACAAGUGGAAGACGGGACAAAUUCAAGUUGGAGAUGAAGAAAUGCUGAGAGAGUUUCAGGCUGUUCGUUCUGAAGAAAUAAAGAUCGAAGCAGCCGAGAUGCCAGAAUCUCCAGCUGUCUUCAUGUUCGGCGGAAUGUUGGAUGCAAUGUUCGAGAAAACUCCAAAUGGGCAAAAGUAGUUCAAGCCCUUCCUGUAAGGAAGGCGCAAAGAAACUCUUUGCCUCUUCCUUUAGGUAUUACAGGAUCCUCAGAUACCAUACGCCGUGCAUCUCUAAGUAGAUGAAGAUAUGGUACUUCGCCCCAAGGAAGCGAACAGCGAAAUUCCUUGUCUGGUGAGUUCAGACGCGCACGAAAGGUAUAACGACUGGGGGACUGUCUCGGGGAUUUACUCGGUGAAAAUGCGAUACCGGUGAAGAUGCCGGUUAAGUGCAGUUAGACGAAAAGACCCCGGAAGCUUUACUGCAAGUUGUUAUUGGCUUUACGUUUUUACUACGUAGCGUAGUGGGUAGGCUUUGAAAUGCCGCUCUCGGGCGGCAUGGAGCCGCCAAUGAAACACCCAUUUUUAAAAAUGUAAAAUCUAACCUGUCCGGCAAAACCGGGUGGGGACAGUAGCUGCUGGGCAGUUUGUGUGGGGCGCAAGCCUCCUAAAAAGUAACGGAGGCGUUUAUUAAGGUCGGCUAGCUCCGGAUGGACAUCGGAGCGAUAGUGCAAUGGCACAAGCCGGCUUAACUGGAAGUCGGACAUGACGACCAGAUACGAAAGUAGAACAUAGUGAACCGACCGUGGGCACUCGAUGCCGCGGAAGAUUAACGGAUAAAAGCUACUCCGGGGAUAACAGGCUAGUUCCGCCCAAGAGUCCAUAUCGACGGCGGAGUUCGGCACCUCGAUGUCGGCUCAUCUUAUCCUGGG